rnacentral:rRNA from 1 species
GAUGAACGCUGGCGGCGUGCCUAAUACAUGCAAGUCGAGCGAACAGAUGAGGAGCUUGCUCCUCUGACGUUAGCGGCGGACGGGUGAGUAACACGUGGAUAACCUACCUAUAAGACUGGGAUAACUUCGGGAAACCGGAGCUAAUACCGGAGAAUAUAUUGAACCGCAUGGUUCAAUAGUGAAAGACGGUUUUGCUGUCACUUAUAGAUGGAUCCGCGCCGCAUUAGCUAGUUGGUAAGGUAACGGCUUACCAAGGCAACGAUGCGUAGCCGACGUGAGAGGGUGAUCGGCCACACUGGAAGUGAGACACGGUCCAGACUCCUACGGGAGGCAGCAGUAGGCAAUCUUCCGCAAUGGGCGAAAGCCUGACGGAGCAACGCCGAGUGAGUGAUGAAGGUCUUCGGAUCGUAAAACUCUGUUAUUAGGGAAGAACAAAUGUGUAAGUAACUAUGCACGUCUUGACGGUACCUAAUCAGAAAGCCCCGGCUAACUACGUG